GACAUGCUUGACAACUACUGAACAGAAGAGCGGUACCCACUCAGCCAACUUUUUAUACAUUUUCAUUUUUUCGCUCCGCUCAGAAUUUAAAAUAUAGCAGAUAGUAUAAAAAUAAUUCUUUUAGACUUGCGAAUUCUCUUGAACGUAUUACUUUUUAUUGUUAUAAUAUUAUUAUAAUAAAAUAAGUUAACACUUAAUAAGGUUAUAAUUAAUUUUUAACAAUAUAAAAAUGAUAAUUUAUUAUACUGAAAAAUCAACUGUAUUAAUGCAAAAUAUAAGAACUUGAACUAUCCGACGAGGAGAAAUCUGGAGAACUCGCAAUGUACUCAGUUCGGGUUUAUAUGAAGAAAGAAGUUCCUCGAUAUGGCGCCUGCGCUCCAGAUAAUAUGUCCUUGCAGCUAUAUAUUCCCCGAACAGUCGAUAUACGAAGAGUAUUACAGAUGGUAUUCGUCUAUGAAAAUUUGCUAAUUUUGAACAUAAUGUCAUAUUAUGCCGUGUGAAAUGUGUUGACGUGAAUGUUUCAAAGAUUUAGUUGUAUAUCAGAAAACAUGUGGUAGAAUUCUGCAGUUCAAUGUGACACUCAUUAUCUUUUGAAUUUCCACUGCUUGAAAAACUUUAUGUAGAAAUCCUAGAUUAAAGUAAGUAAAAUAAUGCUUCAAAUAAGUGUUUUAAGUUGCUUAAACAUAUUUUGAACUAAUAUAUUAUAGUUAAAAUAUUUAGUUUGUACAGUUGUUAUAGAUAUUUAAAUUUUUUCACAAAUUAUUACUUAAAAAUAAAAACAAAAAAUAAAAUAAAUGUUUUCAAUCCAAAAUUACGUAUUUCAGUACUUGUAGUUAUAGUGCAUAAUGUAUAAUAUAUAAUAUAUAAUGUAUACCUAACCUUUAUAUCAUGGGCGUAGAUAAGGGGGGGGUUUUGCGUGUUCAAACACCCCCCGAAAUUAAAUAAAACAAUCUUGAGCUUUUUGUGAAUUUGUUCGAGAAUAUUAUUAACUGGAAUAUUAUUUAGGAUUUAGACAAAAAACCCCUCCGAAAAUAUUUCCUACCUACGGAUUUUUUUCCUAGGUGUGUUUAUUUUUAUGGGUUUUUUUUCACCGAUUCCUACUUCGUUGAUGUAGUAUACUACCUACCUACAUACCAAAAUGAAGUUUACGGGUAUUUUAUAAUUUAUAAUAAGGUAAUAGGGCAAAUACCGCCCUUGAGCUUAUUCUAUUCAAGUUUAUUACAUUAUGGCUUGUGAUAACCAAUUGUUGUAUUCAGCUUUACCUUUACGUAUCGCUAUAACUUAUAACGAAUGUCCCGCACCAUUGUGUCAGAUUACUUCGAGUAUACAAAGAUGACGAGAAGUAUAUAGAAGAGUGUUUAAGUAUAGUGUAGAACAAGUGUAAAUAUACAAAAUGUUGGACGUUAAUCUACAACAAUUUUUUUAUGAGAGCCUGAUGGUCAAAUGUUGAUCAAAUUCGUCAAAAUCAUGAAAAUUUGCAAACUAUUUUGAAUUAGGAAUUCAUAGUUUAUAUUAUUUUAGCCAAUGUUUAAAAAUGUAAUACGAGAUUCCUCAUAAGUUGUUCUACCUUGAUCGGUCUUAGGUUUAGUAAUUAGUAAUUUAGUGUACUCUCAUAAAAAUUUAUAGGAACACCUUUAAGUACAAGUGUAGCUGGUCACAAGUAUGAAGUAUUGUUACCUUUUUUUUUUCGUUGAAUUU